UUGGCACCGAACAUAAUUUAUUGCGAUCGUUACGCAUAAUAUGUAUUAUAGUCACUUUUUCUCGAUAGCCGACAAACCUGAAACGAAUCAAAGGUUAAAGAAAGAAUCAGUGCGUUAUUAUAACAGAGUACCUACUACCGAUGUAAAGACAUAUUAUAUAAUACAUAUACCUACAUGUGCACGGUGAUGUAUGCAAAUUACUAAUUAUAUUAAUCCGAACGUAUCCAUCGUGUCUCCGUGAUUAUUAGUAUAUUAUACGCGUGUGCUCGUGCGCGUGUAAUUUAUUCGGAUGUUAAUAUCGCAGUCAGUACACAGCUGCAGUGGUCGCGCGUCUUGACGUUUAACCCACCACAUGAGAGGGUUGCUCGAACGUGGUGGUGUAUAUCGGUUGGUAACCGCUACCUGGGUCUAAAACUUCGUAUACAGUGUAUUAUAGAGAAAACGAGAGAAAGAGAUAGCAGUGACGGAGAGGUAGAGCUGCGCUGGUGCAUUACCUUGUAAGGUUUCGUUCUGUGUGGAUGGUUACCAAAAGGAAGUACCCAAGGAUUUCCACGGAUGACUGGCCGGCGCGCUGUUCGCCGUGCACGAGGAAGGCGAACGAAUAAACUUUUCCUAAUUUGGUAUAUUCGUAAAGGUUCAUGGUUCUUAUACGUUCUACAAUCGUUUACGACCAGACACUGUGGGCGAUCCAAGAAAACGUUUGUAUUCCGCGAUGGAAUUAUACGCAUUCGACCGUGGAACCAAAAUCUCGACGUACGUGAUAAGUCGGUUUAGUACUGUUUAUAAAUAUAAUAUAACAUUGUUGUCACGAUGCGACAAAACGCUUUCAAAACUCAAUUCGAAAACAAAUACGGAAUAACGCCGUUUCACUAUAUAAUUUAUCAUAACUGAUAAGUCUGAUGUUGUGUUUUCACAGCGGGUUUCUAUCGAAAAUUAAAAUUCCGUGAUGUUGAACCGCCCAUCGCCGGUCGUCGCAGCUGCUGCCAAGAGGUGUCUUUUCCAGGACGAUCAUCGACAACUCGCAGCCCGCAACGACGAUAACGCGGCUUUGGAAGUGGCUAUGACAAUUGAACGGGAGCUGCUGGCACGAAAACGAGACCAAUGGAAUUUCGAUUUCGUCAACGGCACACCGGUGGAGGAAGAGCUUAUUUGUAAUAAUAAUUGGCAAUGGGAUAUCAUUGUUACAUAAACGUCGAUAACGACGACGAAGAACGUCAGCCACAAGUUUGAUGAUAAAUUUACUAUUGUUAAAUAUAAUAUGAAUAUAAAAUUCUACGUUCAAA